GAAUUGAGUUUUGUUGUGUUGGGUUUGAUUAGCUUUUACGGUUAGGGUUACUGAAUUGGGGGUUUUCUUGGGUGAUUGAAUUUGAUUCUAUAAUUUCAUAGUUUCGAUUCUGAGUUUGUUGAAAGUUAAAUUCAGUUAGUCGAUUUGUUGUUUUAUGCUUAAUUGAAGAGUUGGCUGAUAUGAUUAAUUGAAGUGGUAAUUGAAGUGAAGUUUUGUAAUAUGGUAGUUUCUUUUCCUUUGGAUUUGAUAUAAGGUUUUUGAUUUUGAUGGUAGAUAGUUGGGGUACGAGAAAGAAGAGGAGAGAUUGAAGAUUUUGGUCGAAGAGGUUGCUGGGUUUUCAAAGAGGUUGCUGAUAAGCUGUUUGCUGCAAAAAAAUUAACUUCCAAAAGCCUUACUUGAAAUCAAGAGCGUGGACGUGUGUUGAUUAUCAUUUAUUUUGCAGAGCUCUGUUCACGUCAUAUGCAGCUGGUUGUUUAUAGCUCAGCUGAAAUUUCGGAGGACUUAUCAUUUGUUGCAAAUGACGAAUCAGACUUUGUACAUAAACACCUACCGUUGUUAGGAUAUAACAUAUAAUGUAGCAAUGUAAUAUAACAAUGUU